rnacentral:rRNA from 1 species
UUUUGGACACGACCGUACCGCAAACCGACACUGGUGCGCGAGAUGAGUAUUCUAAGGCGCUUGAGAGAACUCAGGAGAAGGAACUCGGCAAAUUGACACCGUAACUUCGGAAGAAGGUGUGCCUUUAGUAGGUGAACCUGUACAAGGGGAGCCCAAUGAGGUUGCAAAAAAUCGGUGGCUGCGACUGUUUAAUAAAAACACAGCACUCUGCAAACACGAAAGUGGACGUAUAGGGUGUGACGCCUGCCCGGUGCUGGAAGAUUAAAUGAUGGGGUGCAAGCUCUUGAUUGAAGUCCCAGUAAACGGCGGCCGUAACAAUAACGGUCCUAAGGUAGCGAAAUUCCUUGUCGGGUAAGUUCCGACCUGCACGAAUGGCGUAACGAUGGCCACACUGUCUCCUCCUGAGACUCAGCGAAGUUGAAAUGUUUGUGAUGAUGCAAUCUCCCCGCGGAAAGACGGAAAGACCCCAUGAACCUUUACUGUAGCUUUGUAUUGGACUUUGAACAGAUCUGUGUAGGAUAGGUGGGAGGCUUUGAAGUGUGGUCGCUAGAUCGCAUGGAGCCAACGUUGAAAUACCACCCUGGUGUGUUUGAGGUUCUAACCUAGGCCCGUAAUCCGGGUCGGGGACAGUGCAUGGUAGGCAGUUUGACUGGGGCGGUCUCCUCCCAAAGCGUAACGGAGGAGUUCGAAGGUACGCUAGGUACGGUCGGACAUCGUGCUAAUAGUGCAAUGGCAUAAGCGUGCUUAACUGCGAGACUGACAAGUCGAGCAGAUGCGAAAGCAGGACAUAGUGAUCCGGUGGUUCUGUAUGGAAGGGCCAUCGCUCAACGGAUAAAAGGUACUCUGGGGAUAACAGGCUGAUACCGCCCAAGAGUUCAUAUCGACGGCGGUGUUUGGCACCUCGAUGUCGGCUCAUCUCAUCCUGGGGCUGUAGCCGGUCCCAAGGGUAUGGCUGUUCGCCAUUUAAAGAGGUACGUGAGCUGGGUUUAAAACGUCGUGAGACAGUUUGGUCCCUAUCUUCCGUGGGCGCUGCAGAUUUGAGGAAGCCUGCUCCUAGUACGAGAGGACCGGAGUGGACACACCUCUGGUGUAUCGGUUGUCACGCCAGUGGCAUUGCCGAGUAGCUAUGUGUGGAAGAGAUAACCGCUGAAAGCAUCUAAGCGGGAAACUCGUUUCAAGAUGAGAUCUGCCGGGGCCUUGAGCCCCCUAAAGAGUCGUUCAAGACCAGGACGUUGAUAGGUCGGGUGUGGAAGCGCAGUAAUGCGUUAAGCUAACCGAUACUAAUUGCUCGUGCGGCUUGACCAG